rnacentral:rRNA from 1 species
UACGUAGGGUGCAAGCGUUAUCCGGAAUUAUUGGGCGUAAAGAGCUCGUAGGCGGUUCGUCGCGUCGGCUGUGAAAACCUGAGGCUCAACCUCAGGCCUGCAGUCGAUACGGGCGGACUUGAGUACUGCAGGGGAGACUGGAAGUUCCUGGUGUAGCGGUGAAAUGCGCAGAUAUCAGGAGGAACACCGGUGGCGAAGGCGGGUCUCUGGGCAACAACUGACGCUGAGGAGCGAAAGCGUGGGGAGCGAACAGG